GGGCUGGCCAGGUCUGCUGGGUCUUCUCUCCUGAGACAGCACCUGGCCUCUGCAGCACUUGGCAAAACCACCCUGGAGCGUGCAGCCUGUGGCUCCGAUGUCUGUGAUAACAGACAUGUUUUAUGAACUCAAGCAACUUCCGGCCCCAAGGGGACUUGGCGUGGGUGUGUGCGCCACAAUGGUACAGUAACGAGGAUACAUAGUUAAAUCUCACAGCGUGACUGAAGGCCUUUGCUGCGUCUGACGUCAUCAUGGCAGCGCGCGUAAGGAAUGGAGAAAAUCAACCCUGGUGCAGAGCAAUCGAGUCCACAAGGUCCGACGGCGCAAGCGGACACGGGUACCACUGUGCGGGAUCCACGGGGCUCUCCUCACGCAGCUGUAAAGGCGUGCUGUUGGUGACUCGCUGUCAGACACAGGAAAGGGGCGCUGCAAAAGAGGGCUCUUAUCAUCAUGAAGGCUGAUUCAGCCACUGCCACUAGGCAGGAAGGGGGUUCUCUGACUAGGAAUGCUAGCCCUAAUUUACUGUCUUGAAACACACAGAUUGUACUGGCUACAGCGCGAUACUGUCCUUGGGGCGCCAGGCUUACACAGGACUUCCUUGCUAGACUCUCGGCUGUCAACACUCAUUUCAUCUUCUUUUGCUUGCUGCCUGUGUGGACUUUGCACGGUUUCAGAAUCGUACCAGGCUUACUGCUUUCCCGUGAUACUUCUAGCGUUAGGUCUUGUUUUGUGUUCCUGU
rnacentral:lncRNA from 1 species